rnacentral:rRNA from 1 species
CAAUAGUGUAUAUUAAAGUUGUUGCAGUUAAAAAGCUCGUAGUCGAAUGUAGGGUUAUAAACGCCGAGAUGUCUUUUAGGAGACGAUUUUUGGCGUCAUAACUCUUUUUUACCGACCAAAAUUUGGUUUUAAAUAAUCAGAUCGUGGGUGCCGGUAAUAUUUACUGUGAAUAAAUCAGAGUGUUCAUGGCAGGCCGUAUGGGCUUAAAUAUCUCAGCAUGGAAUAAUAGAAUAGGACUUAUGGUUCUAUUUUGUUGGUUUUUGGAGCCGAAGUAAUGAUUAAUAGGAAUAGUUGGGGGCACUCGUACUCCGUUGUCAGAGGUGAAAUUCUUGGAUUUACGGAAGACGAACAACUGCGAAAGCAUCUGCCAAGGAUGUUUUCAUUGAUCAAGAACGAAAGUUAGGGGAUCGAAGACGAUCAGAUA